GACGUGAUAUACUUUUAAUAGAGGGAGGGGAGUUUCACCCCUCUGAUUUAGCGGUUCUUGUCUUUAUCAUUCUUGUGUAUUGUUGUCAGCGCUACUACAAGAGUGAUAAUUUCAAGGACUGUUUUUAUUUCCUCUAAAACAUCUUUCACU
rnacentral:sRNA from 1 species